CAGCACCUCUUCUCUCUUCUUUUCCUCUACCAUCUCUCUACCAAAAAGAGAAUUCUGAACCUACUCUUCAUCCAUUUCAAAGCCCAGACCUGAGGCUAGCUCAUGAUCCCCUAUCUCAACUGCAAUUCCCCUUUUUCAUCUUAGAAGGUUGUACAAUUAAGGAGCUCUUGGUAGAAAGGAUUCUAGCUAGUUAAAAAUCCUAUAGAGAGUUGAAACCUGAUGGAGACGCUUCUUCUUGAGCAGAAGUUGGAGAUUGGCGAGGAGUGCCACUAUAGUUAGACUUUUACUGUAUUAUUUUGAGGUCUUGGGUGUAGUCUAGGAUCCCCUUUUACCCACUCUUAUCUGAUGUAUAUGAGUUCUUAGAUGUUU